rnacentral:rRNA from 1 species
AGAGUUUGAUCCUGGCUCAGAUUGAACGCUGGCGGCAUGCCUUACACAUGCAAGUCGAACGGCAGCACGGGGGGCAACCCUGGUGGCGAGUGGCGAACGGGUGAGUAACAUAUCGGAACAUACCCUAGAGUGGGGAUAACGUAGCGAAAGUUACGCUAAUACCGCAUACGAUCUAAGGAUGAAAGUGGGGGAUCUUCGGACCUCAUGCUCAUGGAGUGGCCGAUAUCUGAUUAGCUAGUUGGUGAGGUAAAGGCUCACCAAGGCGACGAUCAGUAGCUGGUUUGAGAGAACGACCAGCCACACUGGAACUGAGACACGGUCCAGACUCCUACGGGAGGCAGCAGUGGGGAAUUUUGGACAAUGGGGGCAACCCUGAUCCAGCAAUGCCGCGUGAGUGAAGAAGGCCUUCGGGUUGUAAAGCUCUUUUGUCAGGGAAGAAACGGUGAGUUCUAAUAAAGCUUGCUAAUGACGGUACCUGGAGAAUAAGCACCGGCUAACUACGUG